rnacentral:rRNA from 1 species
GGAAUAUUGGGCAAUGGACGCAAGUCUGACCCAGCCAUGCCGCCUGCAGGAUGAAGCCCCUCUGGGUUGUAAACUGCUUUCCUUAGGGAAGCAAAGUAUCUAUUUAUGGGUAUAUGACGGUACCUCAGGAAUAAGCACCCGCUAACUCCGUUCCUGCAGACGCGGUAAUACGGAGGGUGCAAGCGUUAUCCGGAAUUACUGGGUUUAAAGGGUGCGUAGGCGGUCAUAUAAGUCAGUGGUGAAAGUUUGCUGCUUAACGGUAGAAUUGCCAUUGAUACUGUAUGACUUGAAUUAGGAUGAGGAUGGCGGAAUGAGACAUGUAGCGGUGAAAUGCAUAGAUAUGUCUUAGAACACCGAUUGCGAAGGCAGCUAUCUAGACCUUGAUUGACGCUGAGGCACGAAAGCGUGGGGAGCGAAC